UAAGAAUGGCCUUUUGGCUAAGAUCAAGCGUAGAGAUAUGCUCUUAUCAGUUUAACAUUUAUGUCCUCUCUCCAAGACAACAUAUUAAAUGGAUUUUUGAAGCAGGGAGAUGGACUAGGAGCUCACUCCAUCUGUGCUGCUCAUGGACCCAGUAUUGCAGUACUUCUGGGAAUGGUGCACCCCUC